UACAGAGGUCACAAGCGUUAUCCGGAUUUAUUGGGCGUAAAGCGUUUCGUAGGUGGGUUCAUAAGUUAUCCUUUAAAGACUACGGCUCAACCGGAGGAAGGGGGAUAAUACUGUGAGUCUUGAUUUUUGGCGGGGCAUCUGGAACUGAUGGUGUAGUAGUGAAAUACGUUGAUAUCAUCAGGAACUCCAAGGGCGAAGGCAGGAUGCUAGCCAAUUAAUGACACUGAGGAACGACAGCUAGGGGAGCGAAAGGG
rnacentral:rRNA from 1 species